rnacentral:lncRNA from 1 species
ACUGACCAUUACGUCUGUCUUUCCAGUGGACAAAGGCUUAAUUAAAUGAGGAGAGGAGGUUGGAGGCCAACAGCAAACCAGAAUCAGCUCCUGCUGAAUGUUUAUUAGGAGAAGGAGACGAGGGAACCAGGAGAUGAGCAACGAGACAACCAAUCUGGACCAAGAGCCGGCAUUCCAAGCAGCCCGAACCUAAGCUGUCAAACCGAUCGCAGGAACCACAGCUGCACAAUUACGUUCAGUGCAGCUGUGGAGGCUGGAGAACUGUGACAACAGAGACCAUAGGACCACCUGGAGAGAAGUUGUCACCUGUGUCUAUGGAGGCUCAAUGCAAUAAGUAAUUUACCUGAGUAGUAAAGUUG